GUACUAAUAAUGAGUCAAACUGACCAAUUAUAGUACUCCAAGUACGCAUCCGGCUGCAGGACAUGACAAAGAGGAAGGAGGCGGUCCGGGGGCUUCUGUUUCCUUCCAUCCCCUCCUCUCUCCUCUGACCUCCUCCGCUGGUGCUGACACACUGCUGCUUCUGGCUGAGGUCUGACUGUGACAUCUGAUCUCAUGACGUCCCCAGUGCAGAAAAUUGAGGAGAGGACACCCACUGCAAGUACGCCAGAGAAGCAGCACAGCCAGGCCACAGCCAACCCUGCCUAGAGCUGAUGAUGGUGGGAAUGCAGGUUCUUUGUCUGUUCCGCCUCCACUAAGGCGCCUAUCACAGGGCAGCGUUACUGUGGCUACAAGGCCACCCAAGAGGCCCCGUGUUCAUGCUCCAGCUCCUGCUCCUGCAUCAGCAUCACCACCCCAAAGGCGCAUCUCUGCAGUGUCUGCCGUGCCACCACUCGCUCUUUUGGCCAGCCCCAAAGUGAGGAUCCACAAUCCCCACAGUUGUCUGACUAUGCCAUCAUGAGCGACGAUGUCCAGCAGGACCGUGCCCAGGAGACCUUUACACUCCACCUGCAGCCCAUCGAUCCAACACAGGCAAACAUGCCUCAGGACAUACCCCAACCACCUCAAACAUCCCAAAGCCCCCAAAUGAGCACAACACCAGGCCCAACACAAAUGGACCAAGAGUUUUGGUCAGGUUGGUUCUCACAACAGGCACAACACUACGCGUGCCUCACCACCCAAACACAAUACCUGUCAAGUCUGCCCCAUCAUUUGCCAAGAGUGAGCCGCAACUCAGGCAGACUCAUAGUGCAGGUGGGCCGAAUUGCGAACACUAUGGAGCAGAUGAGGGCAGAUAACACCAAAAUGCAGGCUAACCUUCAGCGCAUCUUGGAUGAUCAACAGCGGCAGCAGCAAACACUAAUCCAGAUGAUCCAGCAUAACCAAUUAAUCAAUGACAAUCUGUCUCGAAUUAUUGGAAAGAACACUGCCGCUUAUACACAGCUAACGGCAAGUUUGAACAUUCUAAGCCAAAAUCUAAGUGUGUUGGGCCCACACCAUGUGACCUCGAGCUCAGGGACAACAACCCCAAGCCAAACCCCAGUUCAAUCCCCAGUUCGACGUUCAAGUCGAAGCCGCACCCACGAGCCACCACAAUCCUCUGCACCCAGCACCCAAAAACGAAAAAAAUAAUAUUGACUGGCCAGAAUAUGGUGGCCAUUUAAUUAUUUAAAUUCUCUGUUACGCCUAAAUUGGUAUGUUGUUAAAAAUAAAUUGUUAACACCAAA